CAGCAAUAAACAUGAUAUUUGGGCUCACAUUCCAAGAUGAGAAAAUUAAACAUGAUGCAAUAAAUGCAUGACAGCAAGAUCUGUCAGUGUAUGUAUCAGUCACAGGAGAAAAUUUUCUUCCAAAUAGGUAAGGCAGUAGCUUCAAGAAAACAUACAUGUUAUUUUUCCUUAAAUUAUAAAAUGGAUAACUAUUGUGCUCAACAAAGGCUCAUCCACUCAACAAGUUUUCAUCUGCUGACCGCAAGCAGAGCAUACCCCUCUUCCAACAAUAUCUAAAGACAAGUAUGAAAAAAGAUUUAAAGUUAUGAUUCUAGGUAAUUUUCAACUCCCACGUGGAAUGACAUAAUUAAGCAAAUCUUUGAACUGAAAACAAACAUAAAAUUUUCAAUGACAACUAGAAAGUUUAAAUUCAUCGGACUGUUGAAACUGAAGGGGAUUCAAAAGUCUUCUGCAACAAAAGGAAAGAAGAAAACAAUAAUAAGCUUCUUUAGAGACAUGCACACAAGUGCAGAAGCACAUGUACAACCAGAUUCCGGACACAUGGAGAUAUUUUGGCUUCUAGGAUCUGACAAGAUCCCAAUUGAGGUGGAGGCAUUGAGGUGAUGCAGGCAUGUCUUGGCUAACUAGUUUAUCCAAUGACAUUUUAAGGACUUCAAGGUAACUAAUGGAUAGAAGAGAAGUCAUCUGCUACGUAUUAACAAGAACUAAGUUUCUAUAUUAUACCAGAGAAACCAUGUAGUCCUCAGGCUUAUAGGUCAUACCAUAAAUCAUUAAGAUAGUAAUUGUUCACAAAGCAUUAUAUUGCAGAUUAACAUAAAAAACAACUCGGUUUGCAUGAAGAGAAACCCAUUAUUAAAACUGCAUAUCUGUUAUUGGAAAAAAAUUAUUAAAAAAAAGAAAUUAGAGAAAGGACAAGCAAAUCAGAAAAGUGCAACCAAUUAGUUUAUACUCUGACUCACCCCUCAGAUGAAAGCCAAAGGCACAAGGUAAAAUCUAAUUUUAACAAUUAAGGAUCCUAAGCACAAGAACAUUAAAUCAAACAGGCUAUAUACUAACACAACAAAAAACCAUCAAACCUACAAGUUUAACAAAUCACCUAUAUCUAUCAAAAUUUAGCACCACUCAGCAUGCGCUUCACUUCAAUUAGAAGAAUAGUAGUUCCCAUGAACCACAGUGCAAGACCAAUAUAUGUUUCAAUGCCAUAAAUGAAGAACCAUUGAACCCAAAAGUUUAAACUGAUAUGCCAGGACCAAACAAGUGUUAUUUGGCUUUGAUGCUCCAAAAAGACCACAUUCUCCUCUUCUCUCCUUUCCAAAUAAGCAGUUACAUCAUAUGUCACAUAGCAACCAUCAAAACCUAUUUAAAAAUAAAUAUGAAGAACAAAAGUUAUGGAAUAACUCCAAUAGUAAUCAAUAGUGCGACGGGAGUAUGAAAAGUAAACCCUAGAAUGAUGUGACAAAUGGCAACUAAAGCAAGGUAAAUGUACAAUGACUUCACAUAUUUAUUUUUCAACUGUAAGAGUCAUAAGAUAUUUAACUUUAAUUUAAUGAAUAUCCAAUGAAAAUAACUAAAAACUAAAUCUACCAUACAUCCAAAUUUUCAAAGGACAUAAUCUUCUUAAUUCACAUGGUCUUUUACAAGGUUUAGCUUUGGACUUCCACAAAAGGUUUGCCCUUUAUGACUGACUAUACCUCUAAGUUAGUUUUUAGCUCCACCUAUCAACUCAAAAAUCUCUAAAUAUCUGUGUCAUAUACAAAUAACUAAAGCUACAACCAAAGAUUCCAAGUCUCAAUCUCACACAAGCAAUAAAAGAACAUGUAAAGCUUGACUUGAGACGACUUGAGACAAACCUAAGUUAGUUGUCAUGCCACCAGCAUUACAACUGCCCCUUUAGCCAGAUAGUGGCCCAAAACUAUUGGGUUUCAUUGGCCCACUCAGAUGAGCACACACAAACAUUGAAGAAAUAAGUAAGCUACUACAUGUUUUCAACUUUCUAUUUAAAAACUUUCAUAUCCUUAAAUUCUAGUGAAAAGCAUGUGACUUCUGCUUGCUUGAAAAUCAGUAAAAGAGAUAUACAUGUUAUCACCGAUUAGGACUGUAACGUUACUAAAUACUGACUGUAAAUAAUCUUUUCAAGGCCCAUGUAAGGUACAGAUGGAGAGGUUCAUCUGAAAUUUUCAGCAUGGUUUUUCUUUUUGAUCUAUUAACCUACAAUCCUUGAAGUACCUUAAUUCAAUAACUCUCUUUGGUAUCUUCAUUGAUUUUUGUUGAAGCUGCUUCUUGAUAUUAACCAAAUUUCAGUCCAAAGACAUAGCACAGCUAUAAUUUUCAAUAAAAUCAGACAACAAUGCAUUUAACAUUUCCAAGUACAACAAGAUGCAUUUAUUUGCAAAAUGAGUUUAUAGGAUCCAUAAUUAAUUAAAAUUUUGAGACAAAGAAUCUAAUCCAUUAGAACCUAAUUUGAUGCCAAAGAUUUAAAAAAAUUAAAUUAUAAUAGAAUUUGAUCCAGUUUCUUUCAAGUGGUAAGGAAUAGGCAAACAAUGGUAAAAAUCAGAGUGACAAUUCUAGAAGUUCAAUUUUAGUUAACAAUAAAGUUACUUUUGAAACAGAAACACAGAGCAUGACUGAAAGAAAAUAAGCAGGAUGAAUAAAAUUAAAGUCAUAAACUAUCCAUUAACUAUCAUUCAACUUCAGGAAACUUUAGAUUCAUAACAAAACCAUAAAAAUAUGAAAUAUUAACCCUUGAAUAACCCAUGUAAUGUUGCUCCAACUCUUUACUUUCCUAGCACACCUGUACUGGAAACCUCAAAGAAAUAGUACAAGGGAAAAAUUAAGAAGAUUGAAUGUAUUUGUGUUGGACACAUACCUUAUCUGACACUCGCACCCCAAGUGCAAUCAAUGUAGACAUAGUUGUCAACAGAUAUGCCAAUAAAGAACAGAGAAAAUUUUAUUGACAGCCAAACUUGGUCUAAUGCUUCCAUCAAGGUAAGGAAUUUACUAAGUGCUACUCUUACUGCUAGUAAUACUUCACCUAAGAACCCAAAAGGAUUAUUGGAGAAAAAUAAUGACCAGUUACUGAAUUCAAAUAUCGCAACAACAACAAAAUUACAAGAAAUUACUACUGAUUGCAUAACUUAAACGUUAACUGAUCAAACUAUUUUAAUGUUCCCCUAAAAUGUUGACAUACCAAAAAAAAAAAAAAAUCAAUGAAUACAAAUCUACCCCCAAUCCCCUGGAAUGCAAUACCACUAUGAUAAUAAUUCCAUAACUCACCAACAACGGCUAUUUCUUAUAAAGAAAUUAAAAAAAGGAGAAAAAUGACCGCAUAAAUUUUUCUUGGAAAUAGAAUUUAAUAAGUAGCAAUGACAAUGAUAAUACCCUCCUUUUGUAACUUUAAAGAUUGUACAACUAUUCAGAACAAUUCAGGGAAAAGGCUUUAUAAAGCAAUAUUUGCACAUUAACAUAGGUUAGAAAUUCAAUUAAGUAUUAAAAAGAUUGAAAAUGCAAAAACAUCAAUAUAGAAACUCAAUUAAAAUUAGUUUCCAAUCCAAUAUCACAAACAAACGACAACCUAAAUCCAUUCAGCAACCUCAUAGCACAAAGAGACAAUUCAUAGUGCAGCAAUUUUUAUUUUACCUCCAUUAAGCUUAUGCAAAAGCACAUCAACAAAGAAUGACAUUAUGGUCUAACAGGAUGAAUCCAGAUAGCAGGUCUUAUAAACAGCAAUUUGGCUUCUUACUUGUUUUCUUCAUGUCAAUAUUGAAAACAAUAACUGUAUCCUUACAUCUUUUUUUCCUUUUCAUAAUCCAAAAGUAUUCUCACAGGAAUUCCAACUCAUAUAAAAUCAAUAUUACCCCUUGACAAUUUAACCAUACAAUUACAGCAGUCGGAACUCAAAGAAUCUCACUUCUGAUCAGUCAUUGAUCGUAUUUUUCAUAACUCACACACAUAAAACCAUGUGUUUUUCAUAAGCAAAGCCCUAAUUCACAGCGAGAUUCUAACACGGUCAAAAAUACCAAUACAUUUAUCUCCAUCAAAAAGUACUAGCAAUAUCAAAAUCAAGAAAACAAAAACUCUUUUUAGUUUCUUCCAUACAAUUUCAGGGCAGAAAAAAACCCAUAGAAUGUAGUUAGUAAUGGCAAUUAGUACUCUUUCCAAUAUAAAGAUUAAAUAAAAAAAAUAGAAAAGUUACCAAACAAAAAUUAGACGUAAUAAUGAAUAAAUUCAUUGAUUCAACGUUAUAAAGCGGAGAAAAUAUGUCAAAAUCACAACAUUAACAAACAAGAAAUCAAACAAUCUAUACGAUCAAACUAUACUGGAAUUUGUCAAAAACAAAAAAGUAAAAGAUAUGAUGACAAGAGCUUGUACUUACAGAUAACUAAAUGCGGAGAAACUUAAAAGCAUAUAAGCAAUUUCUGGAAGAAGCUUGUUGAAGGCAUUAAUCUUAAAAACAUAAGAAAGUGUAUAUCAAGAAACGGAAUAACAAAAGAAAAAGAAGAAAACGUGAGAAAAAAAAAAAAAAAAGAAUGGUUGGGAAUGAAUACGCUCUUCACACCACCAUUAAAAUGCACGGAUCAUCAUAGUGCUGAAAGAAAGAACUCGUAGGACGAAACUGCAAAAAAAAAAAAAAAAAAUCAAAGAUAUGAAGGGAAAGAAGAAAACAGUGAAAAUUUGGAGAGAGAGUAAUAUGUUUUGUUCAUUGAACCAAAAAUCGAACGUAUUAUCCGCUUGCAUCAUCAAAAUCGUAUUUAAUGCCGAGAGAAAAAAUAUCUGAGCCAACA
rnacentral:lncRNA from 1 species